AGCAGGUAUGAUGCUACAUGCCUCUAGUCCCCACUGCUGGGGAGGCUUGAGGCUGGUGGAUUGCUUGAGUUUGGGAGUUCUGAGAUGCAGCAGGGCUAAAAGCAGAUUGGCACCAAGCCUGUUACCAAUAUGGUGUUUCUCAGGGCAGAGUGCCACCACACUGCCUAAGGAGGGGUAAACUAACCUAGGCCAGAUAAAUGGAGCAGGUUAAAGGCUUCCAUGGCAAUCAGUAAUUGGGAUCAGGUCCAAGAGCAGUUCUGUAUUUCAAGCCCAGGUGAGACAGGAAGUCUUAAUCUUA
rnacentral:SRP_RNA from 1 species